UACGAAGGGAGCUAGCGUUGUUCGGAAUCACUGGGCGGAAAGCGCACGUAGGCGGAUUUGUCAGUCAGGGGUGAAAUCCCGGGGCUCAACCUCGGAACUGCCUUUGAUACAGCAAGUCUUGAGUUCGAGAGAGGUGGGUGGAAUUCCUAGUGUAGAGGUGAAAUUCGUAGAUAUUAGGAAGAACACCGGUGGCGAAGGCGGCCCACUGGCUCGAUACUGACGCUGAGGUGCGAAAGCGUGGGGAGCAAACAGG
rnacentral:rRNA from 1 species